UUUACUGCCAAUAGUACAUGCUAAAGCCAUUUCCUUUGAAAAAUAUGAAAAAAAUAGGCUAUCACAACCCUAUUUUAUCAAAGAAAUUGUUGACUAAUUGCAAAAUAGAUAUAGAAUAGACUGUUUCAUUUCUAUUUUUUGAGGUGGAUUCUAAUCCAUUGCAAAAUAGGUAUUAAAUAGUCUAUUUUAAUUCUAUUUUCUUCAAAGUAUCCCAGACCCACAAUAUUUGAAACAGCAACUAGGUGUGAAGUGUAAUAACCUGUCCUAUUUUAUACCUAUUUUAUUCAUGAAUUCAAGCUUGACUAACAUACAGAACUCUAAAGUCACAGUUUCUGUGUUGACAACUUAAAGAUGGGUUCAAAUUUGAAAACAUUGGGUGGAAGUUUUCAAGUUUCGCGGUCAUAAAAAUCUCUACACAGAUUCUUUAAAACUGAAACCACUAAAUUAAAAUAUGGUCUGAAGGCUAAAGAGGCCUCUAUCCAAGGGUCGCAUUUGUCGCCCUGCUCAUGAUCAUAAUCUUUGUAUUCACUGAAAUAAGUCUUACAGUAAUCCUUUUUUGAAAGGAACAGCGGACUGGCUUAACAAACUAAGUGAUGGUUCACCAGUUUCCAUAUGUGUGAAGUCGUUCGGUUGCGAAGCGUCAUAUUAGUAAGUUAGUGACUCUGUGCUGAGGUCGUCCGAGGCAAAGCAGUGGAGGUCGGAAAAUUCUGAGGUCAACGUCGCAAGGUUGUUCGAGGUAUCUUUAGUCCCGUUUGAGAAAGAUACUGGUUGUAAGGUCCACGCAAGUUUCUUCUUCUCUAGCUUUUUUAACGAAGAACGAUCCUCACUCAUCCGCCAUUUUUUUGUCACGCUACGCUGACAUCUAGUACGGUCGGCGUAUAUAAGGGAUCUUGUAAUUUUCCUUAUAUGGUGACAUACGGGACACGGAAUUUAGUUUUGGCGGGCGAAACGAACCUUGUCUCUCGAUCGGAGAAGCGUGGAGUUCCGUUGGUAUUUUGCCUUUUCUAUUCAGAUCUUGCCUCUCUUAGACACAAUGAGCAACACAAAGAAGAACAAUAGAAGGCAAACAACACCAUCAUUCAAGAUGGUGAAAGAGAUUUUGCUAUGGUUGCAAAACUUGGACAAGUAAAAAGCACAAAGAAUUCAGAGCUAAGACAACCGUGAGAUGUGAAGUCAAUUCAAUGAUCCAUUCCAGGAUUUUUUGUAGAGUACAGGAAAACAGUGAAACAUAGGGAAACCACAAAGAGGAAGCCACUGCAGCUAUCUAAAUGCAAGGACAAACUUUGCUUUUUAAAAUUUAAUUCUACUUUAAUUCUGUUUUCUAUUUUUAUGAAAACUUUGUAUCCUAUCAUUUCUAUGUAAACUGAAAGUACUUGUUGUCACUUCCUUUGGAUACAGAUUGAAGACUGGAGUAAAUUAAUGGCAUUGUUU